rnacentral:lncRNA from 1 species
UUCAAUGAACCUUUAAGAGUCUGUUCUUGUGGAUUUAGACAUCUUGUAGAAGUAGAAUGAUUCAUUGGUUUUAUACCUUUAGAGUAAGCAUUAUGUAUUAUUAAUGGGACUUGUACCAAUGGUCGGUUUGUAGUAAAGAGCAAUAGUUUUAAACAAAAGUUAGUUAUAGAUCAAAAUAAAUGAUAUUAUGUUUACGAAACAUGUCCCCUCCCCCAGGCUGCUGAGUCAUCAGAGAGGAUCGCCCACUCACUGGAGCAGCUGAUCAUUGAGAAGACAGCGCUAGAGGCUCAGCUCGAGGCACUGAAACAGCAGAAUUCCAAAUUCCAGGAAGAACUCAGUCUCUCGCAGGUGCGAGGCAGCUCAGAAAGCCAGCGCAUCGGAACUCUGUGCAAGGAAAUUGAGGUACUGAAGCUGGCCAGUCUGACAUCUCAGAACCAGCCAGACAUGAAAGACAGGGAAACUCUGUCCAACCAGGAGACAGAUGAGGACAAGGAGCUGGAGACUCUGAGGGAUGAGAUCGCGGUGCUGCGAGGUGAGAAACGCCAUGGCCAAGACGCUGCAGUCUGCCGUGGAGACGCUGGAGAGAGACAAGGCCCAGCUACAGGAAGGUCACCCGCCUGGAGCAGAGGCUAUUGGGACGGCAGGCCUCCGAGGGGGGGACAGUGGAGUGCCUUCCUCAGGUGACACAGCUCUGCGACCCGUUGAGAGGAGAAGGAGUUUGCAGAGGGAAAGAUGAUUGGCCAUUAGUAAAACAAUUUCUCAUCUGCUGUCACUAAUGUAGUAUAUCAUUUGUAUAGAAAGAU